ACAUUAAAAUGGGCUAAGGGAGAUGAUUGGGUAGAAAGUAUUAUUCUAUUCAUUUGCCUCCCGGCCUACAAAAAUG
rnacentral:pre_miRNA from 1 species